AGUUGACAAAUUCUGCCUUUUACCUUUCAGCUACAACAUUGUUAUCUUUGGCGGCAUUGAUGGAUUUUCCCGUAAGAUAAUGUAUCUUGGUGCAGCCUCCAACAACCUAGCAUCAACUACCCUGGCUUUCUUCCAACAAUCUGUUGAGAAGUUUGGGUUUCCUCUCAGGGUACGUGGUGAUCAUGGGGUGGAAAACGUGGAUGUUGCACGACUCAUGUUUACAGUCCGUGGCACUGGGAGGAGCAGCUUUAUACCUGGGAAGAGUG